UACAGAGGGUGCGAGCGUUAAUCGGAAUUACUGGGCGUAAAGCGCGCGUAGGCGGCUUUGCAAGUCGGGUGUGAAAUCCCCAGGCUUAACCUGGGAACUGCAUCCGAGACUGCAUUGCUAGAGUAUGGGAGAGGGAAGUGGAAUUUCCGGUGUAGCGGUGAAAUGCGUAGAUAUCGGAAGGAACAUUAGUGGCGAAAGCGACUUCCUGGACCAAUACUGACGCUCAUGUGCGAAAUCGUUGGGAGCAAACCGG
rnacentral:rRNA from 1 species